UGAGGUUGGUGUACUGUGUGUGG
rnacentral:miRNA from 1 species